rnacentral:rRNA from 1 species
CAAUAGCGUAUAUUAAAGUUGUUGCGGUUAAAAAGCUCGUAGUUGGAUUUCUGCUGAGAACGACCGGUCCGCCCUUUGGGUGUGUAUCUGGCUCUUUCUUGGCAUCUUCUUGGUGAACGUUGCUGCACUUGACUGUGUGGAGCGCUACCCAGGACUUUUACUUUGAGGAAAUUAGAGUGUUUCAAGCAGGCAUACGCCUUGAAUACAUUAGCAUGGAAUAAUAAGAUAGGACCUCGGUUCUAUUUUGUUGGUUUCUAGAGCUGAGGUAAUGAUUAAUAGGGAUAGUUGGGGGCAUUCGUAUUUAACUGUCAGAGGUGAAAUUCGUGGAUUUGUUAAAGACGGACUACUGCGAAAGCAUUUGCCAAGGAUGUUUUCAUUGA